AAGGCCUUAAGUUAAUCAAACUAGUUGCCUUCAAAGCAUCCAAUGAGGCCCUUACCUCAGGCCUUG
rnacentral:tRNA from 1 species